rnacentral:SRP_RNA from 12 species
GGCCAGGCGCUCAUGGCAGCGCCGAUGGCGCUCCCACUGGCAGCAUCGGCCCCGCGCCCCCUUGGGUGCGUAGCGAUCCACGCUGGAAGCAGAGCUGCCAGGCAUUACAGCCGCUUCUGCCCGAGCUGACAGCGCGUGAU